rnacentral:rRNA from 1 species
CUUCAGCGUAGAGUCGAUUUGGAGGUGUGCCCUUGAGGCGUGGCUUCCGAAGCUAACGCGUUAAAUCGACCGCCUGGGGAGUACGGCCGCAAGGUUAAAACUCAAAUGAAUUGACGGGGGCCCGCACAAGCGGUGGAGCAUGUGGUUUAAUUCGAUGCAACGCGAAGAACCUUACCUACUCUUGACAUCCAGCGAAUCCUGUAGAGAUACGGGAGUGCCUUCGGGAACGCUGAGACAGGUGCUGCAUGGCUGUCGUCAGCUCGUGUUGUGAAAUGUUGGGUUAAGUCCCGCAACGAGCGCAACCCUUAUCCUUUGUUGCCAGCGGUUCGGCCGGGAACUCAAAGGAGACUGCCAGUGAUAAACUGGAGGAAGGUGGGGAUGACGUCAAGUCAUCAUGGCCCUUACGAGUAGGGCUACACACGUGCUACAAUGGCGUAUACAAAGAGAAGCGACCUCGCGAGAGCAAGCGGACCUCAUAAAGUACGUCGUAGUCCGGAUUGGAGUCUGCAACUCGACUCCAUGAAGUCGGAAUCGCUAGUAAUCGUGGAUCAGAAUGCCACGGUGAAUAGUUUUCCCGGG